CGUAGGGUGCGAGCGUUGUCCGGAAUUAUUGGGCGUAAAGAGCUUGUAGGCGGUCUGUCACGUCUGCUGUGAAACUCAGGGCUUAACCCUGAGCCUGCAGUGGGUACGGGCAAACUAGAGUGUGGUAGGGAGACUGGAAUUCCUGGUGUAGCGGUGGAAUGCGCAGAUAUCAGGAGGAACACCGAUGGCGAAGGCAGGUCUCUGGGCCAUAACUGACGCUGAGAAGCGAAAGCGUGGGAGCGAACAGGAUU
rnacentral:rRNA from 1 species